rnacentral:lncRNA from 1 species
GUAAUUGCUCGUGUGCUGAAGGAACAUGACUGGCCCUGUUGCUAGAGAGGUGUGGUGCUCCUGUGGUUCAGCCCGACGGUGGGGACAGACUCCAAGGCUGUUCACAGCACGGGUAGAGAAGUGUCUGUGGGUCCUCUCCUGUGUGGAAGGGCAGCUGCCAGCCUCUUGCCCCGGCUGGAAACAGCCACAGAACACCUGCUGUAUUCUCCCGGCAAACACUGGGGCCAUGGUGUUUCUCCUCUAA